GUUUUUGUAGUUGAAUAACAACGUUGGUUUUUCAAGCCAAUAGUCCAGGUUAAAGUCCAGGCAAGAAUU
rnacentral:tRNA from 1 species